rnacentral:rRNA from 1 species
UACGUAGGGCGCAAGCGUUGUCCGGAAUCAUUGGGCGUAAAGAGCUCGUAGGUGGUCUGUUACGUCUGCUGUGAAAUCCUAGGGCUUAACCCUGGGCCUGCAGUGGAUACGGGCAGACUAGAGGUAGGUAGGGGAGAAUGGAAUUCCCGGUGUAGCGGUGAAAUGCGCAGAUAUCGGGAGGAACACCGGUGGCGAAGGCGGUUCUCUGGGCAUGACCUGACGCUGAGGAGCGAAAGCAUGGGGAGCGAACAGG